rnacentral:rRNA from 1 species
AGUGAACGCUGGCGGUAGGCCUAACACAUGCCAGUCGAACGGCAGCACAGUAAGAGCUUGCUCUUACGGGUGGCGAGUGGCGGACGGGUGAGGAAUACAUCGGAAUCUACUUUUUCGGGGGGGAUAACGUAGGGAAACUUACGCUAAUACCGCAUACGACCUACGGGUGAAAGCAGGGGAUCUUCGGACCUUGCGCGAUUGAAUGAGCCGAUGUCGGAUUAGCUAGUUGGCGGGGUAAAGGCCCACCAAGGCGACGAUCCGUAGAUGGUCUGAGAGGAUGAUCAGCCACACUGGAACUGAGACACGGUCCAGACUCCUACGGUAGGCAGCAGUGGGGAAUAUUGGACAAUGCGCGCAAGCCUGAUCCAGCCAUACCGCGUGGGUGAAGAAGGCCUUCGGGUUGUAAAGCCCUUUUGUUGGGAAAGAAAAGCAGCAGGUUAAUACCCCGCUGUUCUGACGGUACCCAAAGAAUAAGCACCGGCUAACUUCGUG